AUUCGCGUGUAGCAGUGAAAUGCGUAGAGAUGUGGAGGAAUACCGAUGGCGAAGGCAGCCCCCUGGGCCAAUACUGACGCUCAUGCACGAAAGCGUGGGGAGCAAACAGGAUUAGAUACCCUGGUAGUCCACGCCCUAAACGAUGUCAACUAGUUGUCGGGUCUUCAUUGACUUGGUAACGUAGCUAACGCGUGAAGUUGACCGCCUGGGGAGUACGGUCGCAAGAUUAAAACUCAAAGGAAUUGACGGGGACCCGCACAAGCGGUGGAUGAUGUGGAUUAAUUCGAUGCAACGCGAAAAACCUUACCUACCCUUGACAUGUAUGGAAUCCUGCUGAGAGGUGGGAGUGCCCGAAAGAGAGCCAUAACACAGGUGCUGCAUGGCUGUCGUCAGCU
rnacentral:rRNA from 1 species